rnacentral:rRNA from 1 species
AUGAACGCUGGCGGCGUGCCUAAUACAUGCAAGUCGAGCGAACAGACGAGGAGCUUGCUCCUCUGACGUUAGCGGCGGACGGGUGAGUAACACGUGGAUAACCUACCUAUAAGACUGGGAUAACUUCGGGAAACCGGAGCUAAUACCGGAUAAUAUAUUGAACCGCAUGGUUCAAUAGUGAAAGACGGUUUUGCUGUCACUUAUAGAUGGAUCCGCGCCGCAUUAGCUAGUUGGUAAGGUAACGGCUUACCAAGGCAACGAUGCGUAGCCGACCUGAGAGGGUGAUCGGCCACACUGGAACUGAGACACGGUCCAGACUCCUACGGGAGGCAGCAGUAGGGAAUCUUCCGCAAUGGGCGAAAGCCUGACGGAGCAACGCCGCGUGAGUGAUGAAGGUCUUCGGAUCGUAAAACUCUGUUAUUAGGGAAGGACAAAUGUGUAAGUAACGAUGCACGUCUUGACGGUACCUAAGCAGAAAGCCACGGCUAACUACGU